GCCUGUUUAGCAUAGUCGUUAUUGCGCGGCACUUGUACGUGACGUCAUGCCGAGGUCGCUGGUUCAAAUCCGGCAAUGGGCU
rnacentral:tRNA from 1 species